UACGGAGGAUGCAAGCGUUAUCCGGAAUGAUUGGGCGUAAAGCGUCCGCAGGUGGCUGUGUAAGUCUGCUGUUAAAGAGUCUAGCUCAACUAGAUACAAGCAGUGGAAACUACACGGCUAGAGUAUGGUAGGGGCAGAGGGAAUUCCUGGUGUAGCGGUGAAAUGCGUAGAGAUCAGGAAGAACAUCGGUGGCGGAAGGCGCUCUGCUGGACCAUAACUGACACUCAGGGACGAAAGCUAGGGGAGCGAAUGGG
rnacentral:rRNA from 1 species